rnacentral:rRNA from 1 species
GGGGCGCGAGAUAACUCUCUCUAAGGAACUCGGCAAAAUUACCCCGUAACUUUGGGGGAAGGGGUGCCACCGAGAGGUGGUCGCAGUGAAGAGGCCCAGGCGACUGUUUAGCAAAAACAUAGGUCUCUGCAAACUCGAAAGAGGAGGUAUAGGGGCUGACGCCUGCCCAGUGCCGGAAGGUUAAAGAAGUUGGUCAGUCUUAGGAUGAAGCUAGCGACUGAAGCCCCGGUGAACGGCGGCCGUAACUAUAACGGUCCUAAGGUAGCGAAAUUCCUUGUCGGGUAAGUUCCGACCCGCACGAAAGGCGUAACGAUCUGGGCGCUGUCUCGGAGAGAGGCUCGGCGAAAUAGGAUUGUCUGUGAAGAUACGGACUACCUGCAUUUGGACAGAAAGACCCUAUGAAGCUUUACUAUAGCUUGGAAUUGUGUUCGGGCUUCCUGUGCGCAGGAUAGGUGGGAGGCGUAGAAGGUAUUCUUGUGGGGAUACUGGAGCCAACGGUGAGAUACCACUCUCAGGAGGCUAGAAUUCUAACUUAAUUAAGGACAGUUUCAGGUGGGUAGUUUGACUGGGGCGGUCGCCUCCAAAAAGGUAACGGAGGCGUACAAAGGUUCCCUCAGACUGGUUGGAAAUCAGUCGAAGAGUGCAAAGGCAGAAGGGAGCUUGACUGCGAGAAGUACAGUUCGAGCAGGGUGGAAACACGGUCUUAGUGAUCCGACGGUGCUGUGUGGAAGGGCCGUCGCUCAACGGAUAAAAGUUACUCUAGGAUAACAGGCUGAUCUCCCCCAAGAGUUCACAUCGACGGGGAGGUUUGGCACCUCGAUGUCGGCUCAUCGCAACCUGGGGCGGAAGUACGUCCCAAGGGUUGGGCUGUUCGCCCAUUAAAGCGGUACGUGAGCUGGGUUCAGAACGUCGUGAGACAGUUCGGUCCAUAUCCGAUGUAGGCGUGAGAAUAUUGAGAGGAGCCUUCCUUAGUACGAGAGGACCGGGAAGGACGCACCGCUGGUGUACCUGUUAUGAUGCCAAUUGUAAACGCAGGGUAGCCAAGUGCGGAGAGGAUAACCGCUGAAAGCAUCUAAGUGGGAAGCCCACCUCAAGAUGAGUAUUCUGGUGUAAGGUCACGGGAAGACGACCCGUAAAUAGGCACGAGGUGGAAGUGCAGAGAUGUAUGAAGCCGAAGUGUACUAAUAGACCGUCGGCUUGACC